rnacentral:rRNA from 1 species
CAGCCGUAAACUAUGCGCGUUAGGUGUACUGGUGACCACGAGUCACCGGGGUGCCGAAGGGAAACCGUGAAACGUGCCGCCUGGGAAGUACGGUUGCAAGGCUGAAACUUAAAGGAAUUGGCGGGGGAGCACCACAACAGGCGGAGCCUGCGGUUUAAUUGGACUCAACGCCGGGAAGCUCACCGGAUAGGACAGCAGAAUGAUUGCCGGGCUGAAGACCCUGCAUGACUAGCUGAGAGGUGGUGCAUGGCGUCAGUGACU